rnacentral:rRNA from 1 species
GACGAACGCUGGCGGCGUGCCUAAUACAUGCAAGUAGAACGCUGAAGAGAGGAGCUUGCUCUUCUUGGAUGAGUUGCGAACGGGUGAGUAACGCGUAGGUAACCUGCCUGGUAGCGGGGGAUAACUAUUGGAAACGAUAGCUAAUACCGCAUGAUAUUAAUUGUCGCAUGAUAAUUAAUUGAAAGAUGCAAUUGCAUCACUACCAGAUGGACCUGCGUUGUAUUAGCUAGUUGGUGAGGUAACGGCUCACCAAGGCGACGAUACAUAGCCGACCUGAGAGGGUGAUCGGCCACACUGGGACUGAGACACGGCCCAGACUCCUACGGGAGGCAGCAGUAGGGAAUCUUCGGCAAUGGGGGGAACCCUGACCGAGCAACGCCGCGUGAGUGAAGAAGGUUUUCGGAUCGUAAAGCUCUGUUGUAAGAGAAGAACGGGUGUGAGAGUGGAAAGGUCACACUGUGACGGUAUCUUACCAGAAAGGGACGGCUAACUACGUGC